UUCAGAUGCCAGCCGAAGGCUUACUUUUUAGUGACCCCAACACUGACACUCUGGUUGAGUCUCGCUACAUGAGCCUUUCCAUGACACUGGAGCAGGCGUGCACCGAUGCCAGCCUUGGGUGCCAGGAAUGAUGUGAGCUGGUGUGGAGACGAUGGAUCAUGUUUUGGGAUGUCCAGUGAUAUUUCCUGACUCUAAGGUUUUGGAUUUCAUCAGUGGAAGGUGGAAGGCUUUCAGUCAAGAAAUGUAGUGGUUGCCCUCACGAAGACUGGCUAUAGCCCUCGUCUUCCGCUGGUGAGCAGAGCCAGGAGUGGAUUACAGCGAGGAAUACGCUCGCAUGGCUCUCUGUUUAUCCACAAGAGCCUCCGCAUGAGAAACUCAACACCCUGUUGGAGCUAGAUAAGCAGAACGUGUUUUGAGAGCUUGUUCAAGUGAGACGGCAGAGAAUGGAGCCGGGGAGAGCCCGGUCUAUGGAGCCAGGAGGAGCCCGGUCUAAGUGUGGUCAGUUUGCCGGAUGCUGGCUCAGACUGGAAAGCGCCUUUGACAUGCUGCUGAAGGGCUGCCUGUCAGAACCCUGGGGGGUCACUAAAACCCUGACAGAAACCAUGCCCAGGAACCAAGGGAAAAAUUCCCACUACCAUCUUGCCACUUGUAAGAUGCUAAUUAAUAGACUCCGAUAUCUCUGA